rnacentral:rRNA from 1 species
UACGAAGGGGGCAAGCGUUGUUCGGAAUUACUGGGCGUAAAGGGCGCGUAGGCGGCCUGCUAAGUCGGAUGUGAAAUCCCUCGGCUCAACCGAGGAACUGCAUCCGAUACUGGCGGGCUUGAAUCCGGGGAGAGGGAUGUGGAAUUCCAGGUGUAGCGGUAGAAAUGCGUAGAUAUCUGGAGGAACACCGGUGGCGAAGGCGGCAUCCUGGACCGGUAUUGACGCUGAGGCGCGAAAGCUAGGGGAGCAAACGGG